AACUGUUAAACUGUUUCAACCAUCAGACCAUGCCUGCCUCUGUAAAUAUGCAGAGCUGCCUCAAUAAACGGGCAUUUUCUCCAACGGCAAGCCUUGAUCGUUCUUUCAAUAUUUAGCUUGUUCUCUAUUUGUCUGCCUCUCCUCAGGAUCCAUCAUGUGAGCAAAUAGAGUAGCAGAUGCAUUUAGGGUUGGCUACCAGGACCUCAAUAUCUCUGCGGGGUACCUUGAAGACUUCUACAAAGAGAAAGUGAACUUCACCCUGGGGCCUGGGGUGGAGGAUACUUGAAAGCUCAUGGUAUUAGCAAGCCGUCUUGAAUAUAUAUAUCUUGACAGGAAAGAGAAGGAAGAGGAGAACAGCAAAAGUCCUGAGCCCCAGGCUACCAAGGACCUGCUUGGGGACCCCAAGGAGCGAGGACUCCUGCUCUCUACAGAGCUCUGCCUCCUCAUCUUCCUGCCUCUGCCUGUGAGGCCCGCCACCUCCUGGAAGGACAUACCUGGGUGAUCCAGAACCACCUUCCCACCAGGAGUCCUGGGCUCGGCCAGCAGCGAGGUGACUUCUGCCAGCAAGGGCCACACGUAAAGGUGGGGCACAGGCUGUGGAACCCUCUGGGGAGCCACAGUUAUGCUGCCACAGCACUCAAGAGUUUCCAGCCCUUGUGACGGUCUCAGCUACAGUCACUUGCCCUUUAUAGGCAGAGAAAGUGAGGAUCUGAUCCAGGAUACCAUGCUGCAUUUACAAAGGUCUUCCUUACACUGGUACUCUGGAAUCUGACUGGGAGAGGAGCUAGAAUCAGCUGCAGCCACCACUGAGCAAAGGCUUCCCCAGUGCUACAAGGAAAAGUGACAACUUGACAUGCUGGUGACUAAAUUCCAGAUGCUGAUGACACUUGCCUUCCCAACCAACACCACUGUUUUCAGUGGAGAAUCAUGUUUUGGCUGGUAUUACUAGAAGACAAAUAAAUGAAAAACUUAAAAGGCUCUGCAAUGCUCAAGUUACUGUCUCAAUGGAAAUCUGUUUCUUAAACUCUAGUGAAAAAAGACCCACAAUAAACCUUGAGGUUCUUUAGGAA